GAAAAUUUUGAAAAUGAAAAAAGAAAAAAAAAAACCAGGCAAGAAACUUCAGCAGCAGCAGCACUGUGGAAAUACCGGAUCUACUAGCUGCUUGCAAGGACGGCUCAUUAAUCACUCUGCACUUCCACAAAAAGCCCCUGCACUGUAUCAGCCAAUCACAGAGCCGUUACCACAGGGACAACCUUUACCCUUGAGAGGCUUCAUAGAUUUUUUUUUUUUUUUUCAGUUCUGGUUUUUUUCCGGGAAUCAUUGGCAGCCUCAGAUGUGAGGCAGAGAGGGAGAAGAGGAGGAGGAGGAGUGUGAUUAUCAAAAUAACAAGCUGAAUCUCAAUGGCACCCGACGGCUUUUUAAAAGCGUACCAAAUAAAAGAUGAUAGAAGAAUUCCGCAGGAGCAGCCCGCUUGGAAGAUACAGGAAAAGUCAUCGAUCAGUGCGAUCCAGAGGGGGAAAAACACACACACAUCUAUAUAUAUAUAUGGUUAAAAGAUGAUUGGAAACCGCAUAAGACGUCCUACAAUGGUCCUACAAUGCACAUCUGAGAAUCAUUUCUAAUUAUUAUGUUUUUUUAGGAUAGUCAUCCGCUCAGCUCAUUGUUCAUCCCACACUUUAACUUCAUCACCGAUGCCAAACAUCUCAUGCAUGCCCAAAGAGCUUGCAAUCUAACAGUUAUUGAGCGAGAACCACACUGUAAUCCACACAAUUUAUUUCUGUUGUACUUGUAAUAAAAAAAUCCAUAUUUGUCCCUCUAAACUUGAAAGGCAAAUCCGUUA